GGUAAUUAGUUUAACUAAAAUUAAUGAUUUCGACUCAUUAGAUCAUAUCCUAAAUAUGAUUACCA
rnacentral:tRNA from 1 species